AGAGUUUGAUCCUGGCUCAGGAUGAACGCUGGCGGCGUGCCUAAUACAUGCAAGUCGAGCGAACCACUUCGGUGGGAAGCGGCGAACGGGUGAGUAACACGUAGGUGAUCUGCCCAUCAGACGGGGACAACGAUUGGAAACGAUCGCUAAUACCGGAUAGGACGAAAGUUUAAAGAUGCUCCUGGCAUCACUGAUGGAUGAGCCUGCGGCGCAUUAGCUAGUUGGUGGGGUAAAGGCCUACCAAGGCGACGAUGCGUAGCCGACCUGAGAGGGUGAACGGCCACACUGGGACUGAGACACGGCCCAGACUCCUACGGGAGGCAGCAGUAGGGAAUCUUCGGCAAUGGGCGAAAGCCUGACCGAGCAACGCCGCGUGAAUGAAGAAGGCCUUCGGGUUGUAAAAUUCUGUUAUAAGGGAAGGAAGGUGAUAGGAGGAAAUGACUAUCAAUUGACGGUACCUUAUGAGAAAGCCACGGCUAACUACGUG
rnacentral:rRNA from 1 species